rnacentral:lncRNA from 1 species
GUGACGUCAAGAUAGAGCUUUCACUGGGAAGCAAACCCAUGCUACAUGAAGCUCUUCAUAUAAGUAAACCAGACGAAAGGCUACUGUGUUAUGACAAAUUUGCUACCUUCUAUAACCGAGCAACGUGUUGAAUCUUGGGGAAUACUACAAAAUAUGGAUCAACAUGGGCCCUUCUCCACUUGACGCACACUAAGCCACUGCUGUGAACUUUGAGUUUGAUCUCAGCUCUCUCAAAAGUCACUAAUCAUUCCUUCAACAAAAAACACAACAAGCACUCGGACAUCACACUGCACAGAUGUAAUUUGGAAUAGGAGGAGGUCAUACU